UCCUCGAAUAACUUCUGGCACAGACAUCUGAGGGCAUGGCCGUCUGAGAAGAAAAUGUAGCCAUUGGUGCCAUCUAUCGACCACAGGUUAAAGAUUGGCGAUCCGUUGGAUACCGACCGAGUUAUAGGCAAAACUUGCUGCAAAAAUGAGGAAAAUUUUACAUUUUCUCAAACAGGGUAUGGAACAUGGUUCCUCGAAUAACUUCCGGCACGGACACCUGAGAGCAUGGCUGUCCAAGAAGAAAAUGUAGCCAUUGGUGCCAUCUAUCGACCACAGAUUAAAGAUUGGCGAUCCGUUGGAUACCGACCGAGUUAUAGGCAAAACUUGCUGCAAAAAUGAGGAAAAUUUUACAUUUUCUCAAACAGGGUAUGGAACAUGGUUCCUCGAAUAACUUCCGGCACGGACACCUGAGAGCAUGGCUGUCCAAGAAGAAAAUGUAGCCAUUGGUGCCAUCUAUCGACCACAGGUUAAAGAUUGGCGAUCCGUUGGAUACCGACCGAGUUAUAGGCAAAACUUGGUGCAAAAAUGAGCCUUAGUAAAUUUUCAUUUUUUUAGAUUUUUUGAUUUUUUAUUAUUUUUCACUUUUUUUUUUUAUUUAAAGCAUUACUUGAGUGAAAAGAAACACAUUGCAACCAAUUGGCAUUAAAAUAAAUCAAUUUCAUUUUUUUUGCAAAAUUUCCCAAAAAAAACGUAAGGGGUAAGCCUUAUGAAAUUUUCGAGUUGAAAAUUUUUAAAAAUUUUUUUUCGGAUUUUUUAUUAUGUUGUUUGUUUAAAGCAUUAUUUAAGUGAAAAGAAACACAUUGCAACAAAUUUGCAUGAAAAUAUAUCACAUUUAUAAAGUUUGCUAAAUUGCUCAAAAAUGAGGAAAAUUUUACAUUUCUCAAACAGGGUAAGGAACUUGGUUCCUCGAAUAACUUCCGGCACGGACACCUGAGAGCAUGGCCGUCCAAGAAGAAAAUGUAGCCAUUGGUGCCAUCUAUCGACCACAGAUUAAAGAUUGGCGAUCCGUUGGAUACCGACCGAGUUAUAGGCAAAACUUGCUGCAAAAAUGAGGAAAAUUUUACAUUUUCUCAAACAGGGUAUGGAACAUGGUUCCUCGAAUAACUUCCGGCACGGACACCUGAGAGCAUGGCUGUCCAAGAAGAAAAUGUAGCCAUUGGUGCCAUCUAUCGACCACAGAUUAAAGAUUGGCGAUCCGUUGGAUACCGACCGAGUUAUAGGCAAAACUUGGUGCAAAAAUGAGGAAAAUUUUACAUUUUCUCAAACAGGGUAUGGAACAUGGUUUCUCGAAUAACUUCCGGCACGGACACCUGAGAGCAUGGCUGUCCAAGAAGAAAAUGUAGCCAUUGGUGCCAUCUAUCGACCACAGGUUAAAGAUUGGCGAUCCGUUGGAUACCGACCGAGUUAUAGGCAAAACUUGGUGCAAAAAUGAGGAAAAUUUUACAUUUUCUCAAACAGGGUAUGGAACAUGGUUCCUCGAAUAACUUCCGGCACGGACACCUGAGAGCAUGGCCGUCCAAGAAGAAAAUGUAGCCAUUGGUGCCAUCUAUCGACCACAGGUUAAAGAUUGGCGAUCCGUUGGAUACCGACCGAGUUAUAGGCAAAAGUUGGUGCAAAAAUGAGGAAAAUUUUACAUUUUUUCAAACAGGGUAUGGAACUUGGUUCCUCGAAUAACUUCUGGCACAGAGAUCUGAGGGCAUGGCCGUCCAAGAAGAAAAUGUAGCCAUUGUUGCCAUCUAUUGACCACAGGUUAAAGAUUGGCGAUCCGUUGGAUACCGACCGAGUUAUAGGCAAAACUUGGUGCAAAAAUGAGCCUUAGUAAAUUUUCAUUUUUUUAGAUUUUUUGAUUUUUUUAUUAUUUUUCACUCUUUUUUUUAUUUAAAGCAUUACUUGAGUGAAAAGAAACACAUUGCAACCAAUUGGCAUUAAAAUAAAUCAAUUUCAUUUUUUUUGCAAAAUUUCCCAAAAAAACGUAAGGGGUAAGCCUUAUGAAAUUUUCGAGUCGAAAAUUUUUAAAAAAUUUUUUUCUGAUUUUUUAUUAUGUUGUUUGUUUAAAGCAUUAUUUAAGUGAAAAGAAACACAUUGCAACAAAUUUGCAUGAAAAUAUAUCACAUUUAUGAAGUUUGCUAAAUUGCUCAAAAAUGAGGAAAAUUUUACAUUUCUCAAACAGGCUAAGGAACUUGGUUCCUCGAAUAACUUCCGGCACGGACACCUGAGAGCAUGGCCGUCCAAGAAGAAAAUGUAGCCAUUGGUGCCAUCUAUCGACCACAGGUUAAAGAUUGGCGAUCCGUUGGAUACCGACCGAGUUAUAGGCAAAA